rnacentral:rRNA from 1 species
UACGGAGGGGGCUAGCGUUGUUCGGAAUUACUGGCGUAAAGCGCGCGUAGGCGGACCUGCAAGUCGGGGGUGAAAGCCCGAGGCUCAACCUCGGAACUGCCUUCGAUACUGCGGGUCUCGAGUCCGGGAGAGGUGAGUGGAAUUCCUAGUGUAGAGGUGAAAAUUCGUAGAUAUUAGGAAGAACACCAGUGGCGAAGGCGGCUCACUGGCUCGGUACUGACGCUGAGGCGCGAAAGCGUGGGGAGCAAACAGG